AUGAGCAUCAACUCCCGGCUUCAGGCAAGCGGAGCUUUGUUCCGGCAGCACCUCUACCUCCACGGGCACCAGUUGGGCACCAGUUGGGCACCAGUUGGGCACAGCCACUCACCCUGCCCGUCCCCAGAGCAGACAGCGAGAGGAAAGCGUCGCACGCAACCCACGCUCAGAGCAGCGGGAGCAGCCUCACCCCGAGCAGCUCCGGCCCUUUUGUCUUUCCGGAGCCCGAGUGAAUGUCACCGCGCUCAAAGCGUGACUCCGCUGCAGACAAAAGGAAAAACGAAGACCCACUGCAGCGAAACAAGUUUCAUCAUUCAUCGCAGCCGGUUAUCUCCCUCCCCGUACAAACCGCGUUUGGCAGUCGGGAGGAGGAGGAAAAAGCGACAGCCCGGCGCUCGCCCCGAGCCCGCGGGCAGCGCAGAGCCCGUCCCGGCGGAUCCAUCCCACCCAGCUCCCGCGGCGUGCCCGCAUCGGGACGGGGAGAGCGGAGCGCGGCGGAGCCGGGGCCGCCUGCUCCGGGACCCAGCGCCGUUCGAAGCCCGCGAGAGCCGAGGGGAACGAGCCGCGGCGCUCGGUGUUUUGUCUUCGCAGAGCUCUGCUCCCAGAUCCGGUGCCGCGGCUCCGGGGCCGUGCCGGGAGCAGGACGUGGCCCCGCCGGUCGGGGGCACGCGGGGCCGAGCCGCCCCCCACGCUGCGACGCCGCAGGGCUGGGCCGCACGGCGCAUGCCCACCCACCCACCACCUCCAGCACGGCCCAGCUGCACACCCACCAGCGGCAACGUUCGCCUUGCAAGAAAAGCCAUGAGAAAUGCGCGCAGCAGGAAGAGCUGCGGGAGGAUGCCCAGCGCCGCCGCCUCGUGGCACGGACACGGCUCCUUCCAGCCCCAGCACGCAGCGCUGCCUCCCUGCCUUCUGCCACAGCCACAGCCGUGCUCCUGGGCCACCCCCACGCCCCCCGGAGCCGCACGGGGCCCCACUGAUGCCCCACGGCGCUGCCAAGUCGCCCACCCCCUGCUGAAAACGGACCGUGCUGGGGUUCACCCCCAGACCCGUCCACACCACCAAGCCCCGACGCGAGCGCAGCGAGGUCCCGGCCCCGCCUGCCUGGAACAGCCGGACACAGCAGAGCCCCACGCCGGGGGGAUUCCCGAGGAGCCCGGGCAGCACCGCCCCGCACACCCGCGCGUUGCACGGUGCUCGGAUUGCAGGCGUCCUCGGGAGGAUUUCGGGCAUGUUCCGGAUACCGUCAGCACAAAGAACCGGGCGGCGUCCCCCGGCCGAGGGAUGGGGCUGCACAGCUCCGGGCUGGAGCUCACCCACGCUCCCCUUCUCUCAACGCCGCCUCUCCGAUAA
rnacentral:lncRNA from 1 species